UACGUAGGGUGCGAGCGUUAAUCGGAAUUACUGGGCGUAAAGCGUGCGCAGGCGGUUUUGUAAGCCAGAUGUGAAAUCCCCGGGCUUAACCUGGGAAUGGCAUUUGGGACUGCAAGGCUGGAGUUUGGCAGAGGAGACUGGAAUUCCGCGUGUAGCAGUGAAAUGCGUAGAUAUGCGGAGGAACACCGAUGGCGAAGGCAAUCCCCUGGGCCUGCACUGACGCUCAUGCACGAAAGCGUGGGGAGCGAACAGG
rnacentral:rRNA from 1 species